UACAGAGGGGGCAAGCGUUAUUCGGAAUUAUUGGGCGUAAAGGGCGCGUAGGCGGCUUGGCAAGUGGAAGGUGAAAUCCCUCGGCUUAACCGAGGAACUGCCCUCCAAACUGCUUUGCUUGAGGCCGGGAGAGGUGAGUGGAAUUCCCAGUGUAGCGGUGAAAUGCGUAGAUAUUGGGAGGAACACCAGUGGCGAAGGCGGCUCACUGGACCGGUUCUGACGCUGAUGCGCGAAAGCGUGGGGAGCGAACAGG
rnacentral:rRNA from 1 species